ACGUAGGGUGCGAGCGUUGUCCGGAAUUAUUGGGCCUAAAGCAUCCGUAGCCGGUUUUACAAGUCCUCCGUUAAAUCCAACUGCUUAACAGAUGGGCCGCGGAGGAUACUAUAAGACUAGGAGGCAGGAGAGGCAAGCGGUACUCAGUGGGUAGGGGUAAAGUCCGUUGAUCCAUUGAAGACCACCAGUGGCGAAGGCGGCUUGCCAGAAUGCGCUCGACGGUGAGGGAUGAAAGCUGGGGGAGCAAACCGGA
rnacentral:rRNA from 1 species